rnacentral:lncRNA from 1 species
GAAAAUAUAUGAGAGUCGAAAGUUUUUGAGAGUUAGAGCUAAGGGGAUUUGUUUAAAAACGUUGAGGUCAAGCUAGAAAAGAGAAGACAUGUCCUGCGUCAACCGCUCAUGGCCAGUCUGGGGCGCUGAGCGCGAUUUUCUGCAGACUUGGACUGUUAGUUUAAAUUGGGCUCAGCAUGAGUUGGCCCAUUAGGUACUUUACUUACUCUAGGUCUCGUCCAAGCCAUCCCAUUUAGCCCCCACUCAUUUGAGCCACUCCAAAGCACUCUCCAAAGGAUUCCUCUCCACUUUCUCCUUCAUCCUUC